UACGUAGGGUGCAAGCGUUGUCCGGAAUUAUUGGGCGUAAAGAGCUCGUAGGCGGCUUGUCGCGUCGGCUGUGAAAACUCGGGGCUCAACCCCGAGCCUGCAGUCGAUACGGGCAAACUAGAGUGUGGUAGGGGAGACUGGAAUUCCUGGUGUAGCGGUGAAAUGCGCAGAUAUCAGGAGGAACACCGGCGGCGAAGGCGGGUCUCUGGGCCAUAACUGACGCUGAGGAGCGAAAGCGUGGGGAGCGAACAGG
rnacentral:rRNA from 1 species